CAACUAUGUGUUGCUAGCAGUAUUCCCUAUUCUGGGAAUUCCUUUGGGUCUGUUGGGAAGAAAGAAGAUACCUUCAUGGGGAAAGAAGAUACUUUUCUUCAUGGGGAAAACUACACCACAAGGACCAUUUGACUGUCCCCUCUGGCUUCGGUAUCUUGCUUCCAGCAUGAACAGACAG